GCUCCUGUGGAGUAGUGGCCAAACUCACGGCCCUCUCAAGGCCGAGCCUCCGGUUCAAAUCCGGACUGGAGCA
rnacentral:tRNA from 1 species